rnacentral:rRNA from 1 species
CCCAGACUCCUACGGGAGGCAGCAGUGGGGAAUAUUGCACAAUGGGGGAAACCCUGAUGCAGCGACGCCGCGUGAGUGAAGAAGUAAUUCGGUAUGUAAAGCUCUGUCAGCAGGGAAGAAGAAAGACGGUACCUGACCAAGAAGCCCCGGCUAACUACGUGCCAGCAGCCGCGGUAAUACGUAGGGGGCAAGCGUUAUCCGGAUUUACUGGGUGUAAAGGGAGCGUAGACGGCAGGGCAAGUCUGGAGUGAAAGGCAGAGGCCCAACCCUUGGACUGCUCUGGAAACUGUCCGGCUGGAGUGCAGGAGAGGUAAGUGGAAUUCCUAGUGUAGCGGUGAAAUGCGUAGAUAUUAGGAGGAACACCAGUGGCGAAGGCGGCCUGCUGGGCUUUUACUGACGCUGAGGCUCGAAAGUGUGGGGAGCAAACAGGAUUAGAUACCCCGGUAA